UGGGGAAUAUUGCACAAUGGGCGCAAGCCUGAUGCAGCCAUGCCGCGUGUAUGAAGAAGGCCUUCGGGUUGUAAAGUACUUUCAGCAGGGAGGAAGGUGUUGUGGUUAAUAACCACAGCAAUUGACGUUACCCGCAGAAGAAGCACCGGCUAACUCCGUGCCAGCAACCGCGGUAAUACGGAGGGUGCAAGCGUUAAUCGGAAUUACUGGGCGUAAAGCGCACGCAGGCGGUCUGUCAAGUCGGAUGUGAAAUCCCCGGGCUCAACCUGGGAACUGCAUCCGAAACUGGCAGGCUUGAGUCUUGUAGAGGGGGGUAGAAUUCCAGGUGUAGCGGUGAAAUGCGUAGAGAUCUGGAGGAAUACCGGUGGCGAAGGCGGCCCCCUGGACAAAGACUGACGCUCAGGUGCGAAAGCGUGGGGAGCAAACA
rnacentral:rRNA from 1 species